GGCUGUAUUUGAAAGUGAAGUAAAAAAGAUGACGCAAGAGCAGUUCAAGCCUUCCGAACAGGUUACUCUUGAGCCAUUUGAGCGAGAUCAUGCUUGUGUUAUUGGUGGUUACAGAAUGCCUAAGAAACAGAAAACUGCUGCCUAGCAAGUUAGAUUGUAGUUCUAUUCCGCAACAAUCCAUAAAAAGUAGGGAUGGUAUUCCUGUGAAAUUAUGGAAUUUUGUCUUCAUAUUAUUGUCAAGAACACCGUGUUAGUGGAUUUGCUUACUAUUUUUUGACAUUUAUGUUGAAUUAAAAGGAGAAUGUUUUCAUAUAUUUUGAUUAUUUAACAUGUGUUGAUCAUAUCUGGAAUGGAAUUAAUUGAUUUGUUUUUUAAAUUGAUAUUACUGAUGUCAUCCAGUCACUGGGUUGGUUACCUAUUUGUAAAUGGAAAUUGCGGGCGGAGAAGAUAAGAUUGUAAGUUUUUGAUUCAACAAAAACGUUGUUGGUGAUAUUUUG
rnacentral:misc_RNA from 1 species